GACAGAGGUGCCGAGCGUUAGGCGGAAUCACUGGGCUUAAAGCGUGUGUAGGCGGACCGUUAAAGUACCUUGUGAAAUCCCCACGGCUCAACCGUGGAACGGCUGGGGUAUACUGGCGGUCUUGGGGCCACCUAGGGGGUCAUCGGAACAGGCGGUGGAGCGGUGAAAUGCGUAGAUAUCAGGAGGAACACCGGUGGCGAAGGCGGGUCUCUGGGCCGAUACUGACGUGAGGAGCGAAAGCGUGGGGAGCAACAGGAUA
rnacentral:rRNA from 1 species